AAACUAACUAGGAUGCGCUUAGUAACGGCGAGCGAACCGCGCAAAGCCCAACUUGAAAAUCUCCCUCGGAGAAUUGUAGUCUAUAGAAGUACCCUCUGCAACGGGCUGAGCUAAAGUCUCCUGGAAAGGGGCGUCAGAGAGGGUGAGAACCCCGUAAGCUGUUGCUUUGUUGCCUCACGAGGUGCUUUCGAAGAGUCGGGUUGCUUGGGAAUGCAGCCCAAAUUUGGUGGUAAAUCCCAUCUAAGGCUAAAUACUGGCGAGAGACCGAUAGCGAACAAGUACCGUGAGGGAAAGAUGAAAAGAACUUUGAAAAGAGAGUUAAAAAGUGCUUGAAAUUGUUGAGGGGGAAGCGUUUGAAUGCUCGGGUGCGCCUCAGGCUUAUGGGUUCUUAACGGAGCUCUGUAUGUGCUACGUGCUGGCCAGCAUGGGUUAGGCGAGUGGGACAAACGCUGGGGUUGAUACCAUGCCUAUGCCGCUUGCUUGACCAAGGCGUGAAGACUGCCCUUGUCCUUCGGGAACUGCAGUCUCAAGAUGCUGGCAAAAGGCUUUCAACCGACCCGUCUUGAAACACGGACCAAGGAGUCUAACAUGUAUGCGAAUUGGUGGGUGGAAAACCCAUGAAGCGUAAGGAAACUGACUGGUGAGAUGGCCUGUGCCUGCACCAUCGACCGACCAUGCGUUUCUGCAAAAGGUUUGAGUGCGAGCAUACCUGUUGGGACCCGAAAGAUGGUGAACUAUGCCUGAACAGGGUGAAGCCAGGUGAAAACCUGGUGGAGGCUCGUAGAUGUGCUGACGUGCAAAUCGCUU
rnacentral:rRNA from 1 species